UGUAUGCUUCACCUAUGCCUAGGGUCCUGUCCCCCCCUCCUUCAAGACCAGCGGUCUAGAAGGAGGGGGGGACAGGACCCUAGGCAUUUAGUCUACAA